CCCUAAUAUUGGCUUCACCACACAAUUUGAGCCCUCAAACUGGAAUCAGGCUGUUAGCCCGGCUGAACGGCCUGUGUGGACUGCCGCUGUUCGGCUGCUACGCCGCGUCGCUGAUCAACAUCGUCACCAGUGCCUACGCCAGCGUCGUGCUUUCGAAUGUUUCGGCGUUCGAUGACCUCGGAGCCCACACGAAGGUGGCGUCUUACACGGUUUAUAUCAUGCUGUUUCUCUGGCGUGUGAUCGCCUAUUCGGUCUACGGCUCACACAUUACGGAAAAGAAUGCAGCGCUGGCGGAAACGCUCACGACGAUGGAUUGGAGCGUCGUGUCUAAAGCAGACAGGCGUCGGAAGAAGGCUUUCUUACAGAUCGUCAAGCUUCCAUUCAAUGUCACGGCAAUGGGGUUUUUCAUAAUUGAGAAAAGCAACAUUCUUGCGGUUUUCGGAUUUAUUAUGACGUACUUCAUUAUCCUACUGCAGAUGGGAGAGCACCCUCAAUCAGAUACUGUGGGCACAUCUUCCAAUGUGACCGUUUAAUUCUCUUCGCAGCCCACAUGGUAUCAUCUACGAGACAUAAUCGGUGACCGCUUUGACAACACAACCCAUAAUCAUGUUUGUCCUACACCCAAAUAAAUACGGUCGAAUGUG